CAUCCCGAGUGCCAUGAAAAGUCAGAGGAGCGGACGUGAAGACACGAGAUUGUCAGGAACAUUCCUGAUUCAGUUUUCUCUUCUCGACCUUCAGCUCAUCUUCGAUCUUUUCAGCGUUUUCCGACGCCGACUUGUAGCGAGUCACCUGACCUUCCAGACGGAUUAUCUGAGGGAGGUAAAGGAGGACGGGAGCAAAGUCACCGAACAAGGCAUCAAGGGAGACUAUUUACAAAGACUUGAUCUGUUUCUUGUUUUCGAUUUUUUUACUUUGUCCUUAAACCAAAUCAUGAAGCUGCUGUUCUAAGACUUCUAGAAACAGAUAUGGAAACAAGCGACAACCUUUGCUUUAAAAAUGAAAAAAGAAAAAAUCUUUAUAUGCCGAUGAUACUUUCUGAUGACAACUCUUGACACUAACACUUUAUCUGACCUUUGACCACAUCACAAAGCACAUUCUGAGUAUGCCGGCACUUACAUUUUGUUCCAGGGCAGUGACUUCCUGUUCAGACUUCACCAGUCUGAACUUGAGAUCACUGAUUUGUCUGUUGGCGUCUCCUAGAGCGGAAAAUAAGAAAAUACCAUAAAAACAGAAAACUCAGGGUAGUUUUUAUGCUUCAGACUUUCUGAGGAGCAUCUGUGUAGAAAAAGCAUCAGAGAAUAUGCAUCUGUAAAGACAUUUUCAUUAGUGAGUCAGAUUUUGUGAUGACCAGGUUUUCAUUUAGUUAAAAAGAUCACAAGAUGGAAGCAAAAGAUGAAGUUUAAAAAGAAGAAGAAGAGGAUGAGGAACAGAAAAUUCAGGCAAAGACAUAGAAGAUGAAGACGAAGAAGAUGACAAAGACAACUGGAUAGAUUACCAAGAAAAAAAAGACAAAGAAGCUGCACAAAAACAAAGAAGAUAAAGAGGACAAAUAAAAAUUUUAGGGCAAAGACAGAAGAACUAAGAAGACGUCAAUGACGAAGAAGGAAAAGAAGACUAAGAUGACAGAGAGGAAGAAGGUGAAGUUAAAGCCAAAAUUGAAGACAAAGAUGAAGACAUGAUAAAGUUGGAGACAACAUAGAAAAGAAGAGAAAAGUUACUCACUCUGCACGUCCAGAAGAUGAGGGUCCAUCCCGUUCUCCAGACCGUCCUCCUCUGGAUUCUGGACUCCAUCUGUCCUGUUCUUCUGUCUCUGAUCCAGCUGAGCCUUCAGCAGCCUCACCUGUUUUUUUACUCUUACCGAGCGUGCUCUCUCUGCCGCCAUGAGACGAUUCUGCGCUGAAAUCAUCCUCGGCCGCGCCCUGUCCCGCUUCCCCAUUGGUGGUGAUUUCAGACGAG